rnacentral:rRNA from 1 species
UCUCCUGGAAACGGGUGGUAAUGCCGGAUGCUCCGACUCCUCGCAUGGGGUGUCGGGAAAGAUUUCAUCGGUAUGGGAUGGGGUCGCGUCCUAUCAGGUAGUCGGCGGGGUAACGGCCCACCGAGCCUACGACGGGUAGCCGGCCUGAGAGGGCGACCGGCCACAUUGGGACUGAGAUACGGCCCAGACUCCUACGGGAGGCAGCAGUGGGGAAUAUUGCACAAUGGGCGCAAGCCUGAUGCAGCGACGCCGCGUGCGGGAUGACGGCCUUCGGGUUGUAAACCGCUUUUGAUCGGGAGCAAGCCUUCGGGUGAGUGUACCUUUCGAAUAAGCACCGGCUAACUACGUGCCAGCAGCCGCGGUAAUACGUAGGGUGCAAGCGUUAUCCGGAAUUAUUGGGCGUAAAGGGCUCGUAGGCGGUUCGUCGCGUCCGGUGUGAAAGUCCAUCGCUUAACGGUGGAUCUGCGCCGGGUACGGGCGGGCUGGAGUGCGGUAGGGGAGACUGGAAUUCCCGGUGUAACGGUGGAAUGUGUAGAUAUCGGAAAAAAACACC